rnacentral:rRNA from 1 species
UACAGAGGGGGCAAGCGUUGUUCGGAAUUACUGGGCGUAAAGGCGCGUAGGCGGCCUUCUAAGUCGAACGUGAAAUCCCCGGGCUCAACCCGGGAACUGCGUCCGAUACUGGAAGGCUUGAAUCCGGGAGAGGGAUGCGGAAUUCCAGGUGUAGCGGUGAAAUGCGCAGAUAUCAGGAGGAACACCGGUGGCGAAGGCGGGUCUCUGGGCCGGCCCUGACACUGAGACGCGAAGGCGUGGGGAGCGAACGGGG